GUGCUUUUUCUGCAGAUCUGCAGGCCUCUUCAGUAAAACAAGCAUUUGCAUGCAUCACCUGGCUCCUCCACUCAUUAACAAACAACAUCUGUGCGUGUUUUGAUGCCUUUCUGUUUAGAAUAACUGUGCAUUAUAAGGAGAAAGAGGCACCUGAUCGACACACACUUCUUGGAUUUCUAGUUAACCUAUCACCUUAACAGUUGGACAGCUGGUGGACGUUUCCAAGAAUGGCAAUUUUCUUCUUGCUGUUGUGAGUCUCUCUUUGGCCUUUUUAUCCUCCCAGCAAACAGGCUGCUCUCCUAACCUCACAGGAAACAAAUGGUGUUCUUUUCCGUUUUCUGCCUGACUGAAUUCAGGACCACAGGGAAUGAGGAUUUCAGGUGGCCAACAAAUUUUUGCUUUCCUAGUGAGAAGAUCUUGAAAGUCUGAGACAAUCUAACUUUACCUGACUAGUGCCGCAGAUGCUCAUGUACAUGCCUGGUGAGAAACUGUUCACAGACAAAGGGGAUUGGAACAGGCAACUUUUGUCUAAAAGAGCACAAAGCAUUUGAGUUAAACAAAGAUCAGAAUAUAGCUUUCAGCUUCUCUGUGCCUGCCAUGCCUGCUGCCAUAUUGCCUACCAUGAUGAUAAUGGACCAAGGCUCUGAAAUGUUAAGGAAGCUCCCAAUUAAAUGCUUUCUCUUAUAUGACCAUGACCAUGGCAACUCUUCACAGCGAUGGAAGAGUGACUAUGCAUCUACACACUAACCAUCAUCAGUAUCAAUAUGAAUACCCAUUGUGCUCCUAUUGAAUGAAACAGUGUUGGUAAAUUUUCAUAAUGUGGUCAUUUCCAUAUUGAUGUUACUGACUGUGACAAAGUUCAUUAGAAAGUGGCUUUGUUGAAAAUUAUAGGUAUUAAGGUAAUCAUCCAGGAGAUGACUAUGAGGGGAACAGUUGAGGUCUGCUUGGAGUAGCUGGACAGAUGAAAAUGACUCCAGAGGGUCAGUAAACCCUAAGUCAGUUUUCAGUAGAUUAUGGAGAAUACCCAAAAUCCACCAUUCAUUGUCCAAGUGUGUUGGCAAAUAAAUGACAGAAGGUAAAUGACAAGCCUAUGCUAUUAGGUUCUGUUUGGCCAGGCACAGGAGAGCAGAUGUGAACCCUGGAGCAAAGUCCAGCUGUGGCACAUAAAACAAAAUAAGACGUGGACAGGAAGCAAAAUGGAUGUCUUCUGGGCUGCAGACUUUCUCAGAUGUCUGUUCAAUCAACGACACAUCAGAUGGAUCAUAGUUUGGUCAUACAAAAGAAUAUCUAAUAGCUACAACAGUUUAAGAAGACGGUAAAUGGCUUGUGAAUUUAUGCCAAACAAUCUACUAGAUCCACUACAAAUAGAAAUUCAAGGUGAGGAGGAGCUUGUACAGCAUGUCUUAUGUUUCAAAAUGUACACAAAUACUUGCACAUGCCUACAGCACUGCAAAGGACAUGUAGUAGUCUGGUUAUACUCUUUAUACUAGGAAGAAGAGCCGUGUACCAUGAGAUGUAUAUUGCAGAGAUAACUAAUGUUUCAGAUUUGUAUAGUUUUAAUAUUUAUACUUCACAAUUAUUAUGCUAUGAUUCAAAAGGUAAAAGAAUAAAAUAAUUUGUUAAAAUUCAAAGUUGAGUUAUUUUUCUAAAAUGUUCGUUAAUUAGCACUGCAAAGCUCAAUCUAGGAAGUAAAUGUGUUCCUUGCUAUAUCUAUAUCUACAGCACCCUGAGAGACACAGUGGGGGAGUUUUUACUUAUCUGAUAAAAUUCCCAAAG